GUGGGCGGCACGGUCCCGCCGCUUAUUGUUCCUCUCAGCUGUGACCCAACUGUCAUGAAAUAGUUAACCACAAAAUCGCUUUUACUGUUAAAACGGCAUGGCUGAUCUCUUUAAGAGCGCCCUCGGCUACUUGGGAACCAAUGGCGGAACAGCGGAGAAUGACUUUGUCGGCCAGGAAGUUGAAAUCAAUGGUAUUCGUCUUCGUAUAAGAAAGCUUAUAGCAGAAGGUGGCUUUGCCUUUGUAUAUAUUGCACAAGACCUCAGCACUGGGAAGACAUAUGCUCUGAAGAAAUGGGUUGGAUCAAGCAUAGAGCAGCCCACAAUCCCACAUGAGGAUAUACUCGACUCACCCACACGGCUGCUGGGUGCUGAUCAGGUAGCCUGUGACUCUAUUCGUCAAGAAAUUUCGAUAUCCAAGCAGCUCUCAGGACAUCCCUACAUUGUGGAGUUCUUAGCUGCAGCAGCUAUUGACAAAACUCAAAGUAAAGAAUGCCGGAAUGAGUUCCUCCUCCUAAAUGAAUUGUGCACAGGAGGCUCGCUUGUGGAUGCUUUGCGACUCCUAGAGGGUAAAUUAUUACCAGUGAGCCAGGUGUGCACAAUUAUGUAUCAGACUUCUAAAGCCGUCCAGCAUAUGCAGGCUCAGAAUCCUCCUGUUACUCAUCGAGACCUGAAAGUGGAGAACCUACUCAUCAGUGAAUCUGGCCAUAUCAAACUAUGUGAUUUUGGUUCAGCCAUGACCAAAACUUAUUCAAUUGAUCUGGGAUGGAGUGCACAUCAACGUUCUUUGCUUGAAGAUGAGAUGGCACAGCACACCACACCAAUGUACCGUGCUCCAGAAAUGCUAGAUACAUGGAAUAACUAUACCAUAAAUGGCCAGGCAGAUAUCUGGGCACUGGGCUGCAUCCUUUACUACCUCUGCUAUCUUAAACAUCCUUUUGAAGAUUCUGCUAAACUAAGAAUUGUUAAUGGUAAUUUUGCUAUUCCUACCAAUGAUGGCAAAUAUGAUUGCUUUCAUGAGCUAAUACGAGGCAUGCUGAAGGUAGACCCAAACCAAAGAUUUAAGAUAUCAGAUAUCUUGGAUAGAUUAGCUGCCAUUGCAGAGACCAAAGAUUUUGACAUGAAGGCUCCACUAACAAUAAAAUACAAGAAGAUUGACUUGACAUCUCCAGUACUUCAGCCUGAGAGUAAUGGAAGGGUUAAUGAAAGGCGGUGCGGUGCUCCCGACCGUCCCCCUGCCCGUCCUCCUGCUCCACGGUCUCCACUACCACAACGACCACCACCUCCAGCCUCACAACCCCAGCAAGGUAUGAGUGGGCAAGGUGUACAGCCUCAGCAACAACCAGCUGCUGGUGGUGGUUUAUUUUCUUCUAUUAAGGGAUACUCGGGCAGUAUCUUCAAGAACCUCAAGGAUACAUCCAGCAGAGUCAUGCAGACAGUUAGCCAGUCAAUUACUCGGACGGAUCUUGAUCUCUCUCACAUUACGUCACGUGUGGUUGCUAUGUCGUACCCAGCCGAAGGGUUAGAGUCGGCUUACAGAAAUCAUGUUGACGAUGUUAAAGCGGUUUUGGAUGGCAGACAUCCAGGGCAUUACGUGAUCUAUAAUGUAUCUGGUCGCCAGUAUCAUUCAACGAAAUUCACUUCGAGGGUGGUGGAAGGAAACUGGUCUGGGAAAAAGGCCCCUACAUUGGGUGCUCUUUAUAACUUGGCCUGCAGCAUCCAUGAUUACUUAGCUAAGGACCCUAAGAACAUUGUAGUAAUCCACUGCAUUGAUGGUAAAGCUUCAACUGCAAUGCUGGUGUGCUCAUUCCUCCUGGUAUCUCAUGCUUUCAAGAGACCUGAACAAGCACUCAAUAUGUUUGCAAUUAAAAGAUGCCCACCUGAUCUUCAGCCAUCUCAGUUCAGGUAUCUUGAGUAUAUUCGUGAUCUGGUGUCUUCUCCGCCAACUGUGCCACAUUUUAAGCCUGUGACGCUGACCUCGAUCAUUGUCUCGCCUAUCCCACUCUUUACGCAGAGAAGAGAUGGAGCACGUCCUUAUGUAGAAGUUUGGCAGGGUGAACACAAAAUGCUCUCUACCCUUCAAGAAUAUGACCACAUGAGGUUGUAUAUGCCACCAGACAAUAAGAUCAUCAUUCCUAUCAAUAUUCACUUGGUGGGUGAUGUAUGUGUAUAUAUAUAUCAUGCUCGAAAGAUGAUGGGAAAGGUAAUAGGGGUGAAGAUUGCUCAACUGCAGUUUCACACAGGCUUCAUACCAGAAGAAGAUACUUCAUUAAAGUUUGGUCUGCGUGAAUUGGAUGAUGUACUGGAACCUGAUCGUUACCCAGAACGUUUCACCGUGACUGUAAACAUUUUUGUGUCUGAUGUAGAUCGCAUGCCACCUCAACCUCCUCCCUGGGUAGCAAGACCAUCAUCUUCCUUGAGGCCUCAUGUACCAUAUUCUACUGCUAUUGAGAUGGAGGAAACAAAGGACAAAUUUGCAGCAAGUGCACAUGGUUCACCUGCAUCUCAGAGACGAGAUUCCCCACCCAAAUUAGGGACAGGCAACAUGCAGGCGUGUAAAUCGGACUUCAUGGCUACAAUCAGUGGGAGUGGAAAGCCAGAACCAACUCAGGGAGGCGAAGACGUUGAGGAUCUCAUAUCAGAUGAAGAAGACACUCCAAUGUGUCAGCAGGAAGAUGUCCCGGUGUCCGAUAUUAGUUCUAAAGAAGCUGACUUACUGAAUUGGGGAAUUUCAGCCCAAAGUGCAACAGGAAUUAAUCAAGUCGCUAAUGAUAUGGACUUGCUUGAUAUUGCUGGUUCUGAUGGCAUGAAGAGAGACCCUAGUAACUUUGACCUCCUCAGUGGGAUUGGUGGUGGUGCCAGUGAACCAAGUGUCAGUUCUUCCAUUAAUUCUCGGGAACCUGCAAAUGCUCAGGAAAAUUUGUUUGAUCCCUUUGGAACGUCAGUUGCUUCACAACAUGCAGGUGGUGGAAAAGCGCCUUCUGAAGAUAUUUUUGGGCAGUUUUCAAUACCUCAAACUCAACAACAAAAUAAUCUUCUGGGGAAUCUUGGAGGACCAGCCAUGGGUGGUCUUAGUCCAAUGGCAUCUUCAGGCAGUCCCAUGAUGGGUCCACGGCUCUUGGGAGGAGCAACUAGCCCAAGUAAUACAGUUGGUGGUGGGUUUGUACGUCCUCCAGCACAACAGCAGCCAAACAAACCUUCCGAUCCAUUUGCUGAUCUCGGUAAUUUGACAGGUAUAAGUGGAUGGGGUGGAUCUAAACCUUCAACACCAAAGGGUGGAACACCUGCAGGGGGAACGCCCUUGGGUGGUAGCACUCCUGUUACUGGGUCUCCACAGCACCGUCCACAGGUGGCUGGAGCAUGGCAGGGACAGACACCAGGUGUGAUUGGAGCACAAUUGGGUGGUUGGCAGCCGACAGGUAGACCUCAGCAGCCACCACAGCAACAACCUUCUCAGCCACAACCACCACAGCCACCACCAACUCAACCACAGCAACCACCAAUAGCUGGGAAAACACCAACAGGUACUCCACAUCAUCAGAUGAAAUCUCCAUGUCAGCCCAAUUAUGGACGUGUUAAUUUUGAUGUUUCUGGUAAAAAUAUAGGGGGUACUCCAAAGGGUAGGGUUGGAGAAGAUGCUUUUGGAGACCUGCUUGGUUCUCAAGGGUUCAGCUUCAGUAGUGGGAAAGACUCUGGUCCUCGCACCAUGGCCGAGAUGAAGAAGGUAGAAUUGGCCAAAAGUAUGGAUCCAGAGAAGCUUAAGGUAAUGGAAUGGACUGAGGGCAAAAAGAAGAAUAUUCGUGCACUGUUAUGUUCCCUUCAUUCAAUAAUCUGGGAAGGCUGCAAGUGGAAUGAGUGUGGUAUGCAUCAGUUGGUGCAACAAAAUGAGGUUAAAAAAAUGUACCGCAAGGCGUGUCUAGCAGUCCAUCCAGACAAGUGCACAGGAACGGAACAUGAAUCUCUUGCAAAACUCAUAUUUAUGGAAUUAAAUGACGCUUAUUCUGAAUUUGAAAAUGAUCCUAGCCAGCAGCAGAUUUUUAAAUAAGAACUGGUAAGUUUAUUUGUAUAACUGAACAAAGAUGCAUUAUUUCCAUGGAAUCUUCCCUUCAUAAUUGUCAAAGGGGAAAUCAUUGUUUAUUAUUUAUAGGCAUUCACUGUACAUUCACUUUAGUAAAUGUAUUCUCCUUUCUUUUUUCUUAAGGAUGUUUUUCACAAGUUAUCUACAUUAAAGGUUCAUCAGAUCAAUUAGAAAAUGCAGACUCAGAUUUUUUCAUUUUAAAAAGUGUUUAUGUCAGGAUUUUGACUUUUGCUAGUUGUUAGGUUGUUAUGAACAUAUUUUCUGAAGUAACUGCUAAAUUUCUCUCUCCUGUUUGCUUUUUCCCCUUCAGCCAAAAUUUGUUAUUGUUAGUUCAGUGUAUUAAGUAACAGUUUUAGUUAACCCUGAGCAUUGUUAUGACACUACAAGUGUAAACUUUUCUGAAUCUUAGUAGGUGCUGAAAGUAUGUUAUAUGGUUGUAAAGAAAGCUAAUAUUAACUAGUCCUGUAGUUCUGUUGAUAGUUUGUAUAAAAUAAGGGGCUCUGAUUUUUUAUAUGAAUUUGCGGAUGGUGGCUUGGAAAAUCAUUUCAGGAGGUUGAUAACAUGUUCUCAUAUUUCUCCUAUAACGUGUUCUCAUAUUUGUCCUAUAACGUGUUCUCAUAUUUCUCAUGAAACAUAUUCUCAUUUUAGUUAAGUCUUGUUUUAUGUCAUUGAUACCAUUCAUCUCAGUAGCAGAUAUGUUAUGCUAAACUUGGCUUCAUUAACCCAUGAAGUGUGUGUGUUGUUGUCUGGAACAUUAAACAUAUAGCUUCAGUAUGUAUUAUGUUACCAGUAUAUCUCAUUUCUGUGAUAUCUAACUUUAUUUUGACAUUUUUAUGAAGCUUUACUUAUAAAAAAGUUUUAUCAGAAUUUAAAUUGCUUGGAGCAUGGUAAUGUAGAAUUAUUAAUUUUAAACAUGCAGUGAUUUUAAAUGCUGUCACUUUAAUAUUUUGUUAAAAUUUAUUUUGUAAACUCCUAGAGUGAACACUGCAAUAUAAUACAAACAAAAUAAUAUUUAUGGAAAACAUGUAAUUUCCAUACACACUGGGCAAGCUGUGAAGGAUAGUUUGUUUGCUGUGCAGCUCCAGAAAUUUAGAAAAUAGCUGGUUUCAUUUCCUAUGUUGUAGCAAAAUAUAUUUCUCUUAAUUUCUUAAGGAAACGCUGCUACUAUCUUCAAAUACCAGUAUUAAAAUAUAAAUUUGUUUAAAUUAAGCCCUAGUUAUUUUUAAUUGUCACAUUUUGAUUUGUUGACAGCUUUGCUUAUCAAGAGUUCUUACCAGAGAACCAUGAUGCUUUGUGCACUCUCUGCUGCUUUGUUCUUACCGCAGUCAUAGAGGGGGGGCUUGGCACUUGCAGAAUCUUCCUCAUAUAGCCCAUACAAUGGUAGAUAGAUCACUGCAAAUGUGUAUUAAAUAAGUUUAUUUUUGUGAAAGAAAACAUGCAUUAACAAAAAUUUGUUUGAAUUACGUAUGUAUUCCAUUUAGUUAACAUUAUGCUCAUUAAGUGUAAUUCAUCUCAUUAUUUGCAAAGCUACACUGGUAUACCCUGAAUUCCAGAAUUGUGUUCAUUUUAGUGGGUUUGUUUACUUGGAUUUUAAUUAGUUUUAUCUUGAUAGUGUAAAUAUGGUAUUGAUCUGAAUGCAUUGUGAUAUAGUCAAGAAUGUGUACAAGUAAGGAGUAAGUUAUACAGUAUUCUGAUAGUGCACUUUUUUUGUUUUGAUCUGAAUGCAACAAAAUUAAUAAUAUAACUUAGUAUUUGCCUGUAUUUACGUAAUGGCAACUGUGUCACGGUGGGAACAGGAAGUCUGUGGCCUGUGGAAGGUCCCCCAUAUGCUUCCUUAUGUAAUUUGUUUGGGCAGUAAGAUGAACUGUAUCUCUGUCUUGGCCUUUACUUCUGUGGCAUGUAGGUGGUUCUAUAUUUAUAUUACACUAUGGGUGAAGGAAACAUCUAUUGCCCUACACACAGAAAUCACAAUAGCAUGAUAUAUUAAAUGAACAAAUCCACAAGGGCCAUGAUGAGAGUUCGAACCUUCGCAGCUGGGAACAUCCCGUGCAUAGGUCCGAACCCUCAUCACAGCCCUUUUGGAUUUGAUCUAUUGCUAUUCUACACUGAGGCUUGGUGAUCUUUGUUGUUGAUUCUUGUGAGAGUUUCAUUGGAACUCUUGAAGAGGAGGUUUAAAUUUGCAUUAAUUCGGUCAUAAAAAUCUCGAGAAUAUCAUCCAUUAUGUCUUGUUUGUGUUUAUUACUUCCUCAAAAUAUACAGUAUUUUGUAUCUGUAUUUUUUGGCAUCUUUUCUUGCAUAUUUUUAGAGGGUUCCAUAGUUUUUACUUGUGCAAGUAUUUUUUUCAGAUAUUCCUUUAUACACUAAAAUAAAUUUAAUGGUUGAUCUCCAUUGCCAGUUGUGUGCAAUUUUCCUGGGCUGACCUCUAAAUUGGUUCUCUGUGCAUUAGGCUCCAGUACCUCAGAGGCGAACAGAGCAUGAGGAUUAGAGAUCGAUCCAAUCCAGAGAAAAACUGGCCAGAAGGUAUAGACAUAACACAACGAACCACUAACUUUGAUUAGAAAGAAAAACUAACAUUGGUUUACAGAUGAAAAGCAAUCCAUCAGUAGACAGUGUACCAUUAGGUAGGAACUAACAUCACACCUGGAGGUCUGGAGGUCCUGCUGACAAACAUCUCCAUGUGUGCGCCUGGUACCACCUGUGGUGCUCCAUACUCGUUUGCUGGAACUAGCUAUGUUCUAUAUACUGUAAUUGGUGUUAGCAUUUUUUCGAACAGUGCUUAGUGUUUGAUUCCCUAUUACUCUUCUAAUUAGGAAUACGACUGUUUGGUACUCUCCUAGUGUGUUCUUAGCCUUUUGGUUCACUCCAGUUAUAUUUCAGGGUUUGCUUCCAUGAUAUCCGUUCGAGGUUUAUUUCCUUAUCAAAGUUAUCGUCUCUGUGUAGCUUGGUCCUCAUUGCCAAAUCUGUUUAAGAGUCAAGUUAACUGUUAAUUAUUUAACACAAAAAAAAUCAAAUUUGUGCUUGGCUAUGAGUUGAAUUAAGUUGGUGCCUUGCACGGUUUUGGGAUUGUACCAGGGUACUGACAAGAAUUAUUUCAGUGUAAUUCUAAGGUUUCAUACUCCUAUUCGUUCAUGAUUUAUGGGGUUUGGUGUGUAGGAAACACUUUCACUUCUCUGGCACUUGACACUGCUGGAUAUUCUUUUCUGCCCUGAAGAGGCAGUUCCUGUUGUUUGUGGGAUGGUUCUUAUUACCCACAGUAUUGUGGAGUGAAUCUUGACAUGGAUGAAGAUUUCUUCAUAUAAUGGUGCUCCAGGGAGGUGGAGCUCUAGAAUCUCAGUGUAACUUCAUAUUACCUUUCUUGCUGCACAAGGAUAUCAUAGUAUCGCAAUGUAUCGCCGUUAAAUUAUGUACAUAGCCGUUUAUGAACCUGAUAUUUAGUCUAUGGUUUAGUAAUUUUUCAAGAUUGUUAGCUGUUUAAGUUUUUCUGUAAGGAUCUUACUUUUGUAGUGAUUAAAUGGGAUCUGUUAGGGUUUUGUAAUAAGGUGGUACUUAACUCUGAAAUUUCACAGAUCUAUUCUUUAUUUUGCUUGUGGACUUAUUAAUUUUUGUAUAAUUGUUGUGGCCUUGACAGGUUUCUCACAUGAGCAAGAGAAUUUGAACAAUAUAAUUUUAGAGUAACAGUUAAUGUAUCUAUAUAUAUUAUAUAAGUACUCUCAGGGUUAGUUUACAGGUUGUAAAGCAAGACAGAGGCUACGGUGGUUGUACUUCUAAGAAAAGUGAAGAUUUGAGUCAUUUAAGGGACCUUCUGCAUGUUCUUGUGCCUUGAUGAUUUAAUCUGCAUUUCUUUCUCAUAAUGCUUAACUGUUAGUAAUUUUCUGAGAUGGCUCUUUCAGUAACUUCCGAAGCUAACUGCUGGUACACUUACCUGCUUGAUUGAGGCAACACUGUUGCCUUAGGAAGAAAACAUUCCAGAAAGCACAAGUGCAAUGAAGUGACUGCUUGUAGAAAAUUAGGUACACUUGGGUAGCAAGUCACCUUUCUGCUGAGUAGCAUAUAAGACAUGGAGAACAUGUCCUUGCUCUUUAGGUGUAUAGGACCAGAGGUGGUCCUAUUUCUUGCUUUUAGGUUCUCUCUCUCUCUCUCUCUCUCUCUCUCUCUGCAACUCCUGCAUUGGGCUGGGUUUGGCAUUUUUCUCUGAAUUCCCAAUUUGUAUUACAGAUUGGGGCGCUGGCUCGUACAUUGCCAAGUGACAGCAAUGGUUGAGCUGGUGGCAGUGGUGAUUAGGCUGCUCUCUUCUCUCUUUUCUGGUACCCUCAAAGCCUACUUUUGUUCUCCUGGUCUCUGGGUUUUGCAUUCCAGGGAGUUCUAUUUUUUUUUAAAUUGGGGGUGGAAGGGGGGGGGGGGUAGUUGGCUUCCAUGCCUGGCACCCCUAUAAUUUUCUCUAAAAAUAUUGAGCCCGAGGGUGUGGGGGUGUGGUCAGUGGCUGUUGUUGGGCCACACAUGCAUGGUGACAGUCAGGGACAUUACAGUUAAGGUAUUUAUUCCAUGGCAAUUGUUAUACGUGUUUACAUCUUGAUACAUAAAUUUCUUCAAGCAGCUGCUUGUUCUUUCUGGCGACUAUUUUCUUGGAUCUGGGUCGCUCUUUGACCUUCUAAGCUUUUCCUAGCCUUGCAGAGAGAGCCAGAUUGUGAGCCUGGCUUCUAGUAGGCAAGGUUGGGUCUUGUAAGCCAUAAACAUUGUCCUAUGGCAUUGCUGUACCAUCAUUUAGCUCAGAGAGCUUCUGAGGGGCUUCCAUGAAGGGUUGUUUCAUUACAUUCACUGCUUGAUUUUUGGCCUUGGUCUGUUACCUGGCACACUCACUGCAUUUCUGUAUUAAAUGUCCUGGCCACACAUUAUUGUCCCUUAUUAUUCUUGAAAGUGAAUUCAGCUACAGUUUGUAAUGAACACACAAAUAAAGUACAGUAAAAACUUUACUUUUUAUGUUCAUUAUGUGACAAUGAACAUAACUUUAUUAUGUUCAUGAUCACAUGUUUGAUUCAGUUCUAUUAUAUAUUACUUUAGUUUUCUGCUCAUAAACAAAUUUUCUUCAAUACUCUUAAGUAUUAGUCUGGUAUAUAUAUUUCAUGACCAGCGAUAUAAAAGGAAGAUUUGGUUUUCAUAAUACAGUAUAAAGUUUUAUUUUUGUCAGUUGAUAAGUUAUAACUUUAACAUUAAUAUAAUAUUAAUAGACCUUGAACCCAGUUUUGAAUUUGAAUUAAAUUUAUAAUGUGCUAAAUGUGUAAUGACAUGUAAUGUUGCUGAUUGACCACCAGACUUUCCAAGACUGCAUGCACUUACCCACUAAGCUUUCCAACUUGGUACCUUUUAAUAAUUACUUCCUUAUUUUCCCAUUAUGCUACUCCAAGACAUGGUUUAAUCUAAAGUAAAGCUGCAACCUAAGAUAUCUUUUGGUAAUCAGAAAGUUUACAAAUAAAGAUACAUUAAAAUUGACAGGUGUUAUAUUUGAGGUUACCCCACCUGAUGCAUGCAGGUUAUGGAGGAAGCAAUCAAAAUUAGUAUAAAUUUCAACUUAAAAUGAUGCAAAAGUUAAACUCGGAGAGCAGAACAAACCACCAUUAAUAUCGUGGUUACUACAAUAAGCUCUGUUUUAAUCAAGUAUUUGCACAGUAGCAUAACUAUAAAUAACAUUAGAGUACUGUGUUUUAAUAAGUAGAAUCUGUUAGUUUUUGUUCUUGGCAUGUGUAACUAAUACAGUAUUUAAAUUGUGGUUUGAAGAAGUAAUUCUGACUGCUAACAAGCAUGUUUUGCUUUGUCUAAAUGUAAAUUCAAUACAUUUUCUUUUGAUGACAUUUUUAAUUUAGUACUGUAUAAUUUUGACAUGUAAUCUCUGAAAAUCUGAAAGAAGGAAUUUAUCUUAAAA